rnacentral:rRNA from 1 species
CAGUAGCCGGGUAAUACAGAGGGUGCGAGCGUUAAUCGGAUUUACUGGGCGUAAAGCGUGCGUAGGCGGCUAAUUGAGUCGGAUGUGAAAUCCCCGAGCUUAACUUGGGAAUUGCAUUCGAUACUGGUUAGCUAGAGUGUGGGAGAGGAUGGUAGAAUUCCAGGUGUAGCGGUGAAAUGCGUAGAGAUCUGGAGGAAUACCGAUGGCGAAGGCAGCCAUCUGGCCUAACACUGACGCUGAGGUACGAAAGCAUGGGGAGCAAACAGGAUUAGAUACCCCCGUAGUCCCUGUCUCUUAUACA